GACACCUAUUAUUGUUAGGGUAAAUUUCCCUUACGCCACAUGGUCACUGAUCGGACACCUAUUAUUGUUAGGGUAAAUUUCCCUUACGCCACAUGGUCACUGAUCGGACACCUAUUAUUGUUAGGGUAAAUUUCCCUUACGCCACAUGGUCACUGAUCGGACACCUAUUAUUGUUAGGGUAAAUUUCCCUUACGCCACAUGGUCACUGAUCGGACACCUAUUAUUGUUAGGGUAAAUUUCCCUUACGCCACAUGGUCACUGAUCGGACACCUAUUAUUGUUAGGGAAAAUUUCCCUUACGCCACAUGGUCACUGAUCGGACACCUAUUAUUGUUAGGGUAAAUUUCCCUUACGCCACAUGGUCACUGAUCGGACACCUAUUAUUGUUAGGGUAAAUUUCCCUUACGCCACAUGGUCACUGAUCGGACACCUAUUAUUGUUAGGGUAAAUUUCCCUUACGCCACAUGGUCACUGAUCGGACACCUAUUAUUGUUAG